rnacentral:miRNA from 1 species
CGGCUUCUCGGUACCUGCGUU